GCGGACGGGUGAGUAACGCGUGGGUAACCUGCCCUGUACACACGGAUAACAUACCGAAAGGUAUGCUAAUACGAGAUAAAAUACUUUUAUCGCAUGGUAGAAGUAUCAAAGCUUUUGCGGUACAGGAUGGACCCGCGUCUGAUUAGCUAGUUGGUAAGGUAACGGCUUACCAAGGCGACGAUCAGUAGCCGACCUGAGAGGGUGAUCGGCCACAUUGGAACUGAGACACGGUCCAAACUCCUACGGGAGGCAGCAGUGGGGAAUAUUGCACAAUGGGCGAAAGCCUGAUGCAGCAACGCCGCGUGAGCGAUGAAGGCCUUCGGGUCGUAAAGCUCUGUCCUCAAGGAAGAUAAUGACGGUACUUGAGGAGGAAGCCCCGGCUAACUACGUGCCAGCAGCCGCGGUAAUACGUAGGGGGCUAGCGUUAUCCGGAAUUACUGGGCGUAAAGGGUGCGUAGGUGGUUUCUUAAGUCAGAGGUGAAAGGCUACGGCUCAACCGUAGUAAGCCUUUGAAACUGGGAAACUUGAGUGCAGGAGAGGAGAGUGGAAUUCCUAGUGUAGCGGUGAAAUGCGUAGAUAUUAGGAGGAACACCAGUUGCGAAGGCGGCUCUCUGGACUGUAACUGACACUGAGGCACGAAAGCGUGGGGAGCAAACAGGAUUAGAUACCCUGGUAGUCCACGCCGUAAACGAUGAGUACUAGCUGUCGGAGGUUACCCCCUUCGGUGGCGCAGCUAACGCAUUAAGUACUCCGCCUGGGAAGUACGCUCGCA
rnacentral:rRNA from 1 species